GAAAAGUGACUGGGUCGGAGUGAUUUGGCUAAAUCACUCGCAGAAACUGGUCAAAUCACUCGCAGAGACUGAGACAGAAACUGGACUGAGUCCCAGAAAGCGAUUGGGGCAGAUCGAGCAAGCGAUUUGCCUAAAUCACCUUGACAGCAGAAAUUGACAGCAGAGGCGGGAAAAGUGCAGGGAACCGAAUUUCGAAUUUUUAGGAGUCCAAAUCCAACUCAAUUACUACCAACACAAUUCCAAGAGCCACGAAAGAGUUUCUCACCUAAGAAAUUCCAUUUGCAAUUAAAUUCAACAUCAAAAGAGGAAUCAAAGACCAAAUCAAAAUAGGGAUUCUAAACCCUAAUUGGACUUGGACUCUUCACCUAUAAAAGGAGGCAACUAAAACCAGCAAAGGAGAAUCUCAUCAUCUCUUCUCAGCAUCUGCCAUUGGCAGAAAUCCAGUAGUCCCUCUUCUUUUCUUUUCUUCUUUCUUUUGUGUAUUUUAGUCCACCAUGAGUGGCUAAACAUCCCUUUUCUAGUUGAAGUUGGAAAAUUCAGA
rnacentral:lncRNA from 1 species